rnacentral:lncRNA from 1 species
UUCUAGUUUUAUUCUUUAGGUUCUAUUUGUUGUGCUUACCUUUAUUCACUAGCCUUGUUUCUUGUUUGUCAAUUGUUGGCUAUCUUGGUUUUGUCUUUCACGUGUGCAAUCUAUUCUGCCAUUCUUUAAUUGACCUUUUGUUGUUUUUGUAAUCUGUUCUAGAGUUAAUCUUGAGUCAGGUUCUCUGCUGUGCUGUCAGUUUUCCUUAUCUGGUGCUUACCUUGUUGUUGGCUGUUCUGUUAUGUCAUCCCUUAGCCAAGCCAUUUCCUGUUUGUGAAGCUGAUAUCACUUUGGUUUUUGGAAAUUGAAAGAGAGGUAUUUGUGAAUGGUAGCCUCUUAGGUGGAAGUGAUCCACAAAAUUCUCUGACCUUGACUGAAAUCUCUUCAAAACCUACUGAUGAGUCAAUAUUUUCUUGACUUUACUUAGUUUAUUGUGCUAGAAUUAAUCAGGGAAUUGUGCUUAAUUUUCCGGUAUUUUCCCGUUUUUCCUAAAUAU